ACAGCAGCCGCCGCGGGAAUACGGAGGGUGCAAGCGUUAAUCGGAAUUACUGGGCGUAAAGCGCACGCAGGCGGUUUGUUAAGUCAGAUGUGAAAUCCCCGAGCUUAACUUGGGAACUGCAUUUGAAACUGGCAAGCUAGAGUCUUGUAGAUGGGGGUAGAAUUCCAGGUGUAGCGGUGAAAUGCGUAGAGAUCUGGAGGAAUACCGGUGGCGAAGGCGGCCCCCUGGACAAAGACUGACGCUCAGGUGCGAAAGCGUGGGGAGCAAACAGGAUUAGAUACCCCUGUAGUCCCUGUCUCUUAUAC
rnacentral:rRNA from 1 species